rnacentral:rRNA from 1 species
UACGGGGGGGGUAAGCGUUGUUCGGAAUUACUGGGCGUAAAGGGCUCGUAGGCGGCCAACUAAGUCAUACGUGAAAUCCCUCGGCUUAACCGGGGAACUGCGUCUGAUACUGGAUGGCUUGAGUUUGGGAGAGGGACGCGGAAUUCCAGGUGUAGCGGUGAAAUGCGUAGAUAUCUGGAGGAACACCGGUGGCGAAGGCGGCGAUCUGGGUAGAUACUGACGCUGAGGUGCGAAAGCGUGGGGAGCAAACAGGG